GACAGGUGAAAAAGCUAACCUCAAUUUCUUAUAAAUGUAAACAGGAAAUAUUGAAAAUACAUUUUAAAAUUUAAUUAUUAAUAAGCAAAAUUUUACUAAUGCGACAAUUCCUACAUUACAGAAAUGUUGUUUAGAUAUUCGAAGAAUAAGUUUCACUAGAACAAAUAUUAUUUUGUGGUAGGCAAAUUAAGAUUAUAUCCUAAGAACUGGUUUCCAUUUAGUUAGCAAUUUGAGUUAGCAAAAUUAAGAAAGCACUUACCGUACCCUGGGGUGAAGAAGAACAAAAUUUCAGAUUUUUUAAGAAUAACAUUUUUAGCUUUUGAAUUAAAAUUCUGAAAGGAAUAAUUUAGAUUUACUGGUCCUUCUUUUAUAGAUAUACAAUCUACAAAUUUAUUAAAAUGCUAAAACAACAGUUUUUUUUUCGUCAAGUGUGAUAGGCUUCACCUCAACUUUUGUAGUAAAGUGGAUCAACAAUAGUUUUUAGUAAAAAACGACUCUAAACUUAUAAAAGGGUGAAGUAGAUGAAUAAAUAAGUUUUUUA